GCCUUUUUUACUAUUUGGCAUGGUUUUUGCUUACUUUGCAAAGCCAUGGAGAGGAACUCCUUAAGAUUAGUUUUUAAAAAGGCACUUGCUUGAUCCUUGUGGGCCGGCUCUUUGCUCCAGCCUGCUGUUGAAUAUCUGGUAGCUAACAUGAAGCUGAAUUUAGCAAGGUAUUGGUGAUGUGACCUGUUCACGCAGGGGAAACUUGAACAUUCUCAGGAUUAUGUUAUAGAAGCUGUAGGAUCAAAACGAUUUCAUGGAAUUUUAUAGUUAGGACCUUAAAACUCAUCUCAUCCAGUCCUCAUGUCACAGAUGGAGAAACUGAAGUUCAGAGAGGUGAGCGACUUGAGAGAGGUCACGAUCUUAGCACUGGAGCUAACGUUAGAACUCUGGCCUUCUGACUUGUUCUUCCCACAGGCUCAACUUCCUUUUGAGAGGCUUGGGACUGACUCUGACCCACCGAUUUCUUAGAAGAUUAUCUUUGGUAAUUCUUUGCCAGUUUGUUUUCUUAAAAAUGGCUACUUUACUCUAAAAGAAAAUAGAAAACAUACCUUGUUUUGUGAGCACUCUAGGUAGUUAGUUCAAAACCUUGGUUAUGCAUGUUUUCCACAUUCAUAAAAGGUUUCCUUUAAGAAUACAUAUGUGGCCUUUGAGGAAAUGUUCAGCUCAAAAAUGGAAACUUCCACAUUUGAGAAGAGGUCAGCCCGUUCUAUCCUGAGGGCCAUAAAGCAUUUACUGAUACAAAUAGUUCUAGAGUCAGGCUCGUAGUGUAUCCUGAAGAUUUUCUUUGCCUCCUUUGAGACAACCAUCUAUCCUUGCGUUAGUAACUUCAGCAUUUUCAGUGAGUCUGGCAAACAUACAGGAUAAACAAGACAAAGGCAUUUUGUUAACCCCAUUUCCAUUUAAAAAUAUUUUUGUGGUAAUUGGAAUACAAAUCAAGCUUGAGUUUUCUUCAAAAAGAAAGGUUUUAUGAGUGACUCAAAGCUGGUCAGGGCUUCCGAAUGAUGUUUUAAAAGUCCUUUAGUGAAACUGUCAGGUACGUGUAAAUGAGUCCUACAAAUUUGUAGUUUCAUCAGAAACUGAGUGAAGAAGGAAAAUUAUGGUAAAGGCAAAUACUUAUUAAUAACUACUCUACGCUGUUGGAUAGUCAGUGCUCUCAGAGUCUGCCCUCCUCCUCUGUAUUCAGUCUGUAUAUAUCUUCAAAAUAUUCAGCCUUUGUUUUUAAAAGCAAACAGAACAUUGAUUUCUUUGCAUAAUCUUUAAAGCUUUACUUUCUGUUUUGUGUUUUAUGCCUUUAUUUGAACAUUAAAAUAAUAUUUGUUUAUAUGUUUCGUCUAAUUCUAUAAAUACCUAUUAGAAGUGAGCAGGUAAAUCUGUACAGUACUUUGUAGAAACAUCACCACUCAAACUUACUUUGCAGUAUUUAUACCUCUCGUGUAAUUGCGUUGAGUACCUUUUCAGUACAGCUUAAUCAACAUGGUUUAAUCCCUGUACACCCUUCAGUUGAUUGUACCAAAAGAAAUAUGUCUUAUUUCACUUGUAUUAUUCAUGACUCACUGUUUCUGUAUUCUCUUAUAAUAAUAUCUUCCCCCCAUUCUUCUUUGUGAGUUUUAUUGUCAAAGAAGAUAGACUCAAAAUAGAAUACUUUUCAGAAGCAAAAUUAGGUGGGUUUUUCCAUCUGGAUAAACUGUUUUGUGUUAUUGUGGAGGAGACUAUAGCUCAUAAAGUAGAUGGUUGGUUAUUUUUUUUCCCCUCUUGUGUGUUUGUUUUAGAAACCAUUUCUUCACAGAAUCAGCAGCAGUUCUAGUUUUUCCUGUGUUUUUUUUUCAUCCAUUUGGCUCUCAUUUUCCCCUUCUGCUUGCCUAUUGUAAUACUCAGUGAGCCUAAGGAAACUGCAGAACUUUCAUUUAAUAAUGCAGUAGUGGAAAGAAUGAGCAAAUAUGAGCAAGUACUUACCUCAGAGAAACAAAAAUCCAAACCCAUGAAUCAGAAUUGUUCAAUUUGUUCCUGAGUAGCAUCCUCUACUAUUCAUUUAUCUGUGCUUACUGGAAACUGUAAAGGGGGCUUGAGUUUGAAGACUUUUUUUUGGAGAAUCUUAAUAUAUAUUCAAUUCCUAUCCUCCUAAAUUUUUAUAAUAAAUAACUUCAAACCUCCAUUUUGUAUACUUAGUAUUUUAUUAUGAAAAUUUUGAACUUUUACAAAAGUUGGCAGAAUAGCUUUAUGAAUCCCAUGUAUACAUUACCUAACGUCAUCAGUUAUAAGCCAUAUGGCCAAUAUUUCAUCUUUACUGUCACUUUGUUCCCUUGCACACACACAUGAAUAUUGGAUUGUUUUAUGCAAAUCAUCUACCAUAUCAUUUUUUCAAAAAUACUUUAAUAUAGUUCUCUGAGAUGUAAGUAUAGCCACGAUACCAUGAUCACAUCUAAAAAUAUCAACAUAUUUCCUUAAUAUCAUCAGCGUGAAAAUGGAAGUGUUAGUCACUCAGUUGUGUCUGACUCUUUGUGACCCCAUGGACUGUAGCCUGCCAGACUCAUCUGUCCAUGGGAUUUUCCAGGCAAGAAUACUGGAGUGGGUUGCCAUUUCUUUUUCCAGGGGAUCUUCCUAACCCAGGGAUCAAACCCAGGUCUCCUGCAUUGGAGGCAGAUUCUUUACUGUCUGAGCCACCAGGGAAGCCCUUAAUAUCAAGUAACUAGUAAUUAUUCAAAUUUUCCUAAUUGUCCCAUACAUGUUUUAUUAUAGUUGGUUCAUUCAAAGCAGAAUCCAAACCAGGGCCAUACAUUAUAUUCUCUUUUAAUCUGUAGGGUCCUAUUCUCUCACCUUUUUUUUUUUUAAGGAAUGAAAAUGAAUAUUUAUUUAGAAUGUGAAAAAAGCUCUUACUACUUAUACAUUUCAAAAGCCAACAAACACAUAUUCCAGGAUAGUAACAAAAAUUUUUAUUAACUACCUGAAACACUUCUUUGGUACUUUUGGCACUGUGGUACUUUAUUCUUAUAUUUUUUUGUCUUCAUACUCUUUGAUCAUUUCUUCAUAUAAUAAAAGAUUUUUAAGGUAAUUUUCUGUAGAAGGCAAUAGUUAACUCAGGCUUUUCUCUAGUAUGGUUAAUUAAAAUUUGUUUUUUAUUGUUGAAAGUUUGGGUGCCAAAAAAGAACAAAUUGACAAACAGAUGCACUCUUGUUUGUAGUACUACUACAAAUAAGAGUACAGUUAAUUCUGUUUUGUGCUGUUUUCAGCAAAAAUGAUAAAAAGGUGUGGUGCAUUAUAAUUGUAUGCAUGUGUUAUCAAAUAUAUUUCUGACAAAUGAGAGUUUCAUUUUGGCUAGGUGUGAAUGAGAACUAGAAUCUUUCACUUAAAUUUUUCCCUGUCAAUUAUUUGUUGAGAUGAAUCAGAUCAUUUGUGCUAUAGCAAUUCCCUAUAAAAUUUACUAAUCCUUGUGACAUAUUUUAAUGUCUUUUAACAUAUUUUACUCUCUCCUGUAUUUCUACAUAUUGUUAAUUAAGUGUAGAAGUUUAAGCAGAUUCUAGUUCAGUUUUUUUGGCAAGAAUACAUUACAAGUGAUUCUGUAUACUUCCUGUUGCAUUACAUCAGAGGGUACAAUAUUUAUUUACCUUUCCUUUUGUUCAGAUAUAGUACCACAACCCCCAGUUUUCAGUUCAGUAUUUUAAAGCAGUCUAAAAGCUUGAUGUUGAAACCUUGCUUUAAAUAAAUCAAUUUGGAACUUUUAAACAUCACAAAACAAAUUGUUUUUCUUUUGUAAUUUUAGAUAUAUAAUGUUUUCUUUUGAAAAAGGAUUCUGCUCAAUUUUAAUUCCCAGAAUAGACUUCCUUAAAUGAGAACUAUAGGGUAAAAAAGCUACUUAAUUAGAUGAAAAUUCUCUUAAGUUUGGUUUUGCUUCUUCAUUCCACAUAUAUUUAUAUAUAUAAUAAAUACCAAGACCCUGUAAUGUGCCAGGCACUAUAAAGGUGGCAUGGUUCCUGCUUCCAUGGAGUUUACAGAGUAAUAAAGGAACAGAUAGUAAUCAAAUAAUUUCACAAUUAAAUAUAAAUUAUAAUUUUUCAGUGCUUAGAAUAGAGAUAUGAAGAACUGUAAGAGAAUUUAUUAAGGGGAUUUGAUCUAGUCUGGUUUUCAAGGAGGUAGUGACUGAAGGAGAUCUGCAGAAAUGAUCAGCUGAAGGAAUACAUUGGGAUCUUUCUUUAAACAGAAUAAACUGGGGUCUUUCUGUAAAUGGACUGAAUGAGGAAAGACCCUUUGCCCAAAGAGGAGAAUGUAGAAUUUAAGUAAGUGCAAAAGCAGUGUAUACUGACUUAUAGAAAACGAGGAGAAGUCUGGUAUGAAAUCAAGCCAGAGAUAUAGGUCGGCAAUACAUCAUGAAGGGCUUUGCAGACAGCUAUGUGGAGGUCUUGAGAUCCUUAAUUCAUUCAUAUUUGCAGAUAUUAUUUGAAUGAGCAUGUCUGAUAUGUAUUAGGUACAUUUCUCUUAUUGCCAGGAACAUAUAGUUGAACCAGUCGUGAAGCUUGUGCUCCAGUAGUGGUGUAGGCAGAAGGGAAGGGGACAAAAAUAAAUCAAUAAGAUCAUAUAGUGAGAAGCACCAAGAAUAAAAUAAAUCCAACUCUGUGUUCAUGGUAACUAUUGAGCUACUUUAAACUGAAUAGAAAGAGAGGACCCAUCUGAGUAGGGGAUUUUAAUGAAACCUGAAUGACAAAAAGGAACCAAUCCAUGGAAAUUUGUGGAAGGAACAUUCUAGGCAGAGAAAAGAAAUUGUGUAAGGCCGUAAGAGCAGAACAUGGUUGGCGAGUUCAGGGAAAUGUAAGAAAUCAUUGGGCUGGGAUCUAUGGAAUAAAGAUGACAGAGCUACAAAAUAAGGUCAAAGAGGCAUAGAGCUCCUGAAGUGAAGUGAAGUUGCUCAGUCGUGUCCGACUCUUUGUGACCCCAUGGACUGUAGCCUACCAGGCUUCCCUGUCCAUGGGAUUUUUCAGGCAAGAGUAUUGGAGUGGGUUGCCAUUUCCUUCUCCAGGGAAUCUUCCCGACCCAGGGAUUGAACCCAAGUCUCCUGCAUUGUAGGCAGACGUUUUACCCUCUGAGCCACCAGGGAAGUCUAUAUAGCUGUAAAGCCAUAUUACCAAACUAGUAAAAUUCAAGUGGCCUUAGUUUUAUGUGAUAAUGUUUUGCUAACAUUAAAUUAAAUGGCCAACACAACCUGUGCGAGAGGGGAGUUUUGGGGAGAAUGGAUAUCUAUAUAUGUAGAGCUGAAUCCCUUUGCUGUUCACCCGAAACUAUCACAACAUUAUUGAUUGGCUUUGUCCCAAUGCAAAAUAAAAAGUAAAAAAAAAUUUAAAUGACCAACAUAAAAGAUGAUUAUGGUACUCAUGUUCACUGCUUGGAUUCUUCUGAGUAUGUCAUACAUACACUACUAUGUGUGCUGUGAUGUCUCAAUUCUACCGUUUUUUCCUUCUUUUUGAAAUUUUACAGGAGCUUUGUAUAAUCUAUUAUAGUCUCACUUACCUGCAUAGAACUUUUCACUAACACAGUGUAAAACACAAAUGCAGAAGUGAAUUUCAUAGCAUCAUUCUAGUUUAUCUAGUCUGCAUAGCACAGCUCUAGCGAGUGACAUUUCCUUAGUAAUUUAUGUGGUUUCUUAAGUCCUUGAGAGACAAUAGUUAUUGUACUGCUUUUCACACAUAGAAGCAGCAUUUUCAUACAUUAUUUGGAUGCCUAGGUAAGUUUAAAAACCUGACUUUAGCCAUAAAUAAAUAUCAUUACAAGGUGAUUAAUCUUGGAGUCAGCAUGGGGUAGAGGGGAGACUCUGACAGAAUUUAAUAAUUCCUCAUUCACAACACAGUCAGCUGAAGUAAAACCUUAAAGACAAUCUUGAGGAAGGUAUUAGAUCAGAUCAGAUCAGUCGCUCAGUCGUGUCCGACUCUUUGCGACCCCAUGAAUCGCAGCACGCCAGGCCUUCCUGUCCAUCACCAACUCCCGGAGUUCAC